rnacentral:pre_miRNA from 1 species
UCUUACGGAUGAACAAAGAAAGUGGUUUCUUGAGAAGGAGUCUAUUCCUGGUAAAGAUGCUGUGAA